rnacentral:rRNA from 1 species
UACGGAAGGUCCAGGCGUUAUCCGGAUUUAUUGGGUUUAAAGGGAGCGCAGGCGGGAGGUUAAGCAUGACGUGAAAUGUAGCCGCUCAACGGCUGAACUGCGUCGCGAACUGGCUUUCUUGAGUGAGUACGACGUCAGCGGAAUUCGUGGUGUAGCGGAGAAAUGCUUAGAUAUCACGAAGAAUCCCGAUUGCGAAGGCAGCUGACGAGUCCUUUACUGACGCUAAAGCUCGAAGGUGCGGGUAUCGAAC